rnacentral:lncRNA from 1 species
AUCAAGUGAAAAAUCUAGACAAGAAUCUUAGUAAAAAGGAUUUUCAUACGCUUGUAAUAGGGCCAGACUCUCUCUAUAAUGUCAAUGUAUGUUUUACAAAUGAAUAUCUCAUGCCCUUAUCAUUGUGUCUCUUUCUAUUUAUAAGAAACAUGGUUUUAGAAACCCUAAUGGUACAGGUGCAGAGAAUAUCCACCAAAAUAUUCUCUUUAAUGUCAUAUCUCAAAACUAAUAGGUAUAACUCCGUUUGAGAUGCUCGACCUCAACCUAGAUCUACGAUGAUUUCACAACAUUGAUCUUUGCUAACUCUUCGACCGCGCCUUUCAUCGCUCCAAGGACACUUUGACCUGGGGCAAGUUUUUGUUGAGACCUUACUGAAAGCAUGUGGUGGCCAAUGAAGGCUAUUUAUAGUGCUGACAUGGCUUGCCUAUAUCAAGAUAUUUUUUGGCCCAUAUAGUUAGUCUUUCCGCUUAUCGAGGUCGUCAUCACGAGAGAGGUCGAUGAGUGGAUAAUGUCGUUUAUGGUCGAGCUUAUCCAGCUGGCUACACAAGUCGUGAUCAUCAUAACGAUCAGGCAACGUGGCUCUCUGACGGACGCAUAUUUUGAGUUCUUUGAAUUUCCUGGGAAUUCUGUUGGAGCCAUCUGGUACAAGAGAAAGAGUGAUGUUAUGAUGGCAUACGUUAUGAUGAUGUCUUUUCCCGACGUGUUCCAUCGAUUCACGUGUGACCCUUGAUUGGUUUUGCCAUUUCAAUUUUCGUGUUAAUCAUGGCCUACCAUUUCGAUUCUCAUAUGCAAAACCUUUUCACUUCUAUAUUUCUUUACCCACCGUCUAUGAUGAUGGUUGAGCGAUUAGCCGAAUUCAAGGGCUAGGCUUGGUCUACCUGGUCAUGUGGAUUUGGUCCCUGCGGGCAACGAUGAAGUGCGGGUUUGUUAUACCACAUUUUAAUACGGGUCAAACUAGAGUAUAACAUAUUGAUAAUUCUGAAGGUUUAUUAAUUAAGAGAGUCACUACCUAAUUAUGUUAACGAUGAAUUAGGACACCAAUUUUAACUGAGUAAUGCUUAAAGUUAAUUCUUUAACUGAGUAAUGCUUAAAGUUAAUUCUUUUUUAUGGUUUGCUUAACUUAAGAUUAUGGUAAAGGUUCUAGCUAUCUCAAAAGAAAGGGGAAAGACACCUUUUAAGACCCAUUAAAAUGGUUAACCAGCCAAACUUAGGUUAAUUAAUUUAAAACAAAUCCAGUUUUUAUAAAUUGGCCCUUUGUUUCAAAAUAGAAAAUAAUAAGACAACAUUUGACGUUAAUAUCAGCCAACCUCUUGUACGAAACGUUUAACCCCAAAGAGUCCUUUAAUAAACCUAAUAACUAAAGAAUCAUUCUCGAAAAGGUUAAGUAUUAGAAAAGAAAGUGUUCAUAUGUACCUUUAGAAAACUACUCAGUUGGGACUUAACGAUCUUGUAUUUACUAAAGUCUAACUCAACAUCACUAGAAAAGGUUUUGCUGAAAAGUUUUUGAAAGGAAAAUGUUAAAUUCAUGUGUCUAAAGGCUACAACAUAUGUGAUUAAAAUAGUAGCGAUUAUAGGUAGUAAGAAGUAAAAAUAUAGCACAACUAUAUACACUAAGCUAACAUGAAUAUAAAUUCAAAAGAAUUGGAGGAAAACUCAAAUCACACAAGUAAAGUUAAAUAGCAAGAAUGGUAAUAAAAAUAAAAGAAAGACGCCUUAUGAGUCCCAAGCGUUUCGCUUGUUUUCUUUCUAUCCGGUGAAUCUAUAGGAGUGAGAUAUGAUUCCAUGCUCGGGGUAUGUUGGCAAGUCUUGCAUUAAGACUCCAUAUGUUGCUCCAAGUGCAUAUGCAAAAAGAAAAGAAGAAAAAGAUUAGAUAGGAUAAAAAAUCCUAAACAAAUAUUAAAAUGAAGGAGAAAACAGUGGCAUCAAUCAAGUGAUUAACUUGUACAAAAUCAUAAGCUCACAAAGGGAGAAGGAAUUUAUUACUUCCGGCAACAUUAUCCUAACAAAUUUAGAGAAUUUCUUAUUAUUAAUAUAUCUCCUACAUACACCAUCAAAUGGACUUUCUAUGUUUAUUGAAAUCUAAAGGUUGAACAAAUUAAGUUGUCCAACAGUUGUUCCUUCUUGAUCAGUGAAAUAUGGAACCUAGUUAACUCCUUUAAAGUGAACUAAACACAUGCUAUCUAAUCCUUCCCAGAACAUAUAUUUCAUGAAGAGAAUACUAGAAUUAAACCUAUAGGCAUAAUUUCUAGGCGUGGAAGAUCUCAUAUAUGGUAACUCUAAUUCUAUAUAUCAGUCUCCACAGUUUUGGCAUAGAUCUCAAAGAUUUGGAUUAGUAAGAAUGUUAACAACAUGCUUCUUCCGUUUUAUACAUCAAAAUUAAAGCGAGUGAACAGUGAUAAAUUCUAAUAUACUCCAAUGAUCAGUGAAUCAUAUUUUAUUACAUAGUCCACAAAUCAGAUCCUUAACAUGCUUCCUACAGUGGAGAAUGGCAGGCAGCAGACACUAGACACCGGGAGAAAGGUCUUGUUACACGGCUUAACGAUUUUUCUUCUAUGAAUAGGAAAGUCUUAAGCAAACUCUGCUAAAUCAAAUUUCUUUUAUUAGAGUCCUAAUGUUUAGAUUUUACUAUUCCUAAAGUCUUGACAGAGAGAGUUCAAAGAGAUCACAGCAAUUUCCGAGUUGUUCUAUUGCUUAAAGGCAUAAAAUUGUUAGAGGUGAGACAAGGUAGCAUAUUUGACAUGGUGAAUUCCUAUAGUCAUCGUAACCAAGUAUUGAAAGAAUGUCUCUUCACUAAAUAAGAGGAUCCUCUAAUCUAGACAUAUAGUAGCUAAUUACUCUUUCAGUCAUUAUGCUUCCUACAACAUUCGAACUAGGAAACAAUAACUUAUAAUCAUGUUUUAAACAAGACAUGAAUACAUGAACAAAGGUAAUCAAAGCAAAGACCUAAUAUCAGCAAACUAAUUUAUUCACAUAAGCAAGCAAUUGACUUCUUAUUUUCUUCAAGCUUUAUGCACAUACCACAUAACUUCACAGCUUUUACGCAUACAAAAACUCUUAAUAAUGACUUCUAUGGUAAUAAACUAUGACUCGUGCUCCGAACAAAUAGACGACCAUUUCAGAUCUUCAAAGAAAAAUGAGAUAAAGAUUUUAGAGUUACCGACCUUUUGUGAUGCAGGAAAUGGGGUCGCGUCAAGGUCUGCUAUACUGGCCUCAAUUCCGCAACCUCGAAUGACUUUCAAGCUCCAAGACGAGCACGACGAUACCUCUGUUAUGGUAAAACAAAACCUAUAGAGGCUGGACAAAAACGAGCUCUUAGAGUGCGGUUCUAAAAUAAAAAAUAAGAGAGAAGCAUGGCGAGAAAAAGAAUAUAAAGCGGUGGAUCCCCAGGUCGCUGAAAAUAGCCAUAAAGUCUGGUAUUUUAUAGGUGUAAAAUUAAGGUUUCUAUGGCUUCUCUAGGCGGGAUCUUUGAGCGGGAUUUUGUGCUUCAAAAACCGAGUCUACAACGGCUUAAAAAUUGAACGUUUGAAGACCAUGAAAUGGUUCACAUGAUCUUGGUCAGAAAAGACAAAGAAGAGAGAAGCAAUAGGGAUUUUGAAUAAAAGGAUUGAAUUUCCAUACCAUUUUUAUGCAUUUUGUCCUGUCGAAACAGAGCUUGCACGAAAAUGGAGCGAACAUUUCUUGUCCAAUUUCUAUAAAAGCUGAAACUUAGCCAAAAAUGCGUAUGAAAACAAAGAGAGGCGCU